rnacentral:rRNA from 1 species
UACGUAGGGUGCAAGCGUUGUCCGGAAUUAUUGGGCGUAAAGAGCUCGUAGGCGGUCUGUCGCGUCGAAUGUGAAAACCCGGGGCUCAACUGUGGGCGGGCAGCUGAUACGGGCAGGCUGGAGUUCGGUAGGGGAGACUGGAAUUCCUGGUGUAGCGGUGAAAUGCGCAGAUAUCAGGAGGAAGACCAGUGGCGAAGGCGGAGCUCUGGACAGCUCCUGACGCUGAGGCGCGAAGGCUAGGGGAGCAAACGGG